ACACGGUCAAGCACAGACGAGACAUCGCUGCUGUUUGAGCAGGAACACCUCAUCAAUUAUCAUUUAUGAAGACAACCUGCAUUCAAAAAGAAUGCAUACCGCUGGCAAUCCUGAGCGCUGACAUCCUGUGCCAAGCCAAGUCUGAUCGCCACGCUGGAGCAAAUAGAACCGGUGGAUGAACCCCGAUCCCCGCGGCGCUGCCGGCCCCUGUCCCGGCGGGCUUCAGCUUCCCAUCCCCCCGCCCCGGCCGACCCCAAAGCCCCCUCGUCCUGAGCCCGGUCCCCCAGAGCCCCCUCCUCUGCCCAAGCUCUCAUGGGGGGGAGGGGGAGUAGGUUAGGCCGGAUGGAGCCCCAGCCUAAAUCGGGUGGUGGGGAUAUGUGGCAGCUGUCUCCAAUUUGGCCUCGGCAGCUGCUCUGGCUCAUUGGCAAUCAGUCAGCAGCCGACUCCGCCCUCAUAAAAGCUCUGUUGAGAGUGGAGGGCAGGAAGAAAGUGAGCAGAGGCGCAGGGUUGCGGUCUGCUUUGUGUUGUAUGAAACAAAUAAAGUAUGUCAUCGAACGGAACCUCGUUGUUCGUGGCUGAUCCUUGGUGCUUUGGGGGGACAGCAGGAGUCCUGUUACAAUUCCGCUUUGGGGUAUCUGUUUGCGCACCCUGUUUAAUUCUGUAUUAAUUUGUAUCCAUCCAACCUUUCUGUGAACCAGGCAUGAGGCAAGAUUUCCAGGAAGUCUUUAUGACUACACAUCCUAAAAAGCAGGUCCUGAUGUUCAGCUCCACUCUGAGUCAGCAGAUGCGACCACUCUGCCAGACAUUCAUGCAGGAUGUAAGUGUUCGUCAGGAUUUCACAGAACGCAGUAUUUUAUCAGCAAGCAGCACGUUUGAAUAUGACACGUCUUCCCACUCCCCGAACUCGAUUACCCGCGGUUCUGUCCCGCCGACUCACAAAUUACAUGUUUACGUCAGCGCGCGCCGCUUUUCUUUUUGCACAUUUUUAAGAAGUGGCCGGUCUUCUCUCGCCGUGUGGACGGUCAAGAAUCAGGGCGGCCGACGUCUCGGCUCCAGAAUCCCAGGCUUGUUCUUCUGGUGCUAAAUGCCUCAGUUUCUCGGCGGAGGCAUGGUAUGAGUCCAGUUGUGUAAACAACGCGAGCUAAAAUGGCAAAAACGUAAAUGUGACGCCCACCAAUGUGUUUGCACAUGUGUGUAAUGUGUUUUGUGUUAAUUGACAAAUAAUAUGUUUCAUAGUGAACAUAAUUGUUUAAGAAGUGAGCUGCUUUCAAUUUGUAUAGACUGUACAUAUCACCCUGCUGCCAGCAGGGGGCAGGGUGACGCUCUAUUUUGCGACAGUGGAGCGAUUUACGACCACAACGUCGCGAGUGACGUGUCCUCAUUCUGCAGAGUGAUGCGCGAUGACCAGACGUAAAUGUGCGUGGUGUCAUUUGUGUGUCCUGUUUACAGGUGGGUGAAGAAAGAAUGAUAAGUAAAUAAGUUUGUUUGGAUGAAGUUACUGUUUUAGCAGCUAAACAGCUCGGAGAUGGAUGUCUAAAUGUAUGCAUAUACGUUUGUGUGUGAAUGACUAGUUUUGAUUGGCCGGUGUGCUGCGCUAGCUAAACUGGCGCCACACACCAUCAUGCCCGUCAAGACUAUUGUUGGCUCAAUAAACAUGUAAUGUGUAAUAUUGUUAUUUUUAGGAAUAUUGUUGAAAUGUGAUUUACAAUAUGGUUUGCACUUAUGAAUAUGAAAAUAAAUGGGAAUUUCUGCGGAGUGAUGCGCGAUGA